rnacentral:rRNA from 1 species
UACAGAGGUCUCGAGCGUUGUUCGGAUUCAUUGGGCGUAAAGGGCGCGUAGGCUGCGGGGCAAGUCGGGUGUGAAAUCUCAGAGCUCAACUCUGAAACUGCACUCGAUACUGCUUUGCUUGAGGACUGGAGAGGAGAUUGGAAUUCACGGUGUAGCAGUGAAAUGCGUAGAUAUCGUGAGGAAGACCAGUGGCGAAGGCGGAUCUCUGGACAGUUCCUGACGCUGGAGGCGCGAAGGCCAGGGGAGCAAACGGG